GUUCCUGUAGCACAAUGGAUAGCGCGUUGGACUUCUAAUCCAAAGGUCGUGGGUUCGAAUCCUACCUGGGAUC